UUGUUAUAACCCGACACAAGUUCACUUUUCAUCUCGCUCUAGGGUUUCAGUGUCUUCUCCAAGCUUCCAAUCUCAAUCUCCUACAACUUCAAUCGUAUUUCUGUCUCUCCUCCAUCCCUAAAUCACAUCACUCAAGAUCUCAAAUCUUCAUCAACAAGCUUUCAUGAUGCAGGUUCACGUUCAAGAAUAUAACAACAGUACCAGGGUUCAGUCUUCCGGUGGUCGACAUUGAUGAAUACAAGGUGCAUGGUGAAGUUGAAGCUGAUCUCCCCAGAACGUCGUCAUUAUCACAACAAAGCUGCAAUAUGAUGAAUAAUCAUUUGUUUCUUGAGAUUAAGAUGAUAGCUAUCAAAUGAUUAUUUAAUGUCAAAUUUCUAUUUGAAUUGGCUUCUGUCAUGAAUCAAAUUAGUUUAGAUAUGAGGAGUUUUUGCUGACAAAUUGAUACUUUUUAGUUACUCUAAAUCACAAUCGUAGGAACAAGCAUGUUUCUUCUGCAAAUGAAUGUCAUCCACACCAAGGUAUGAUUCCGAUAUCGUUCUACUUUUCAGAUUUUUAUGUUCAUCUAAUAGAUUUUGUUUAUAUAUUAUCGAAAUAGAGUGACCGAUUAUAUCGUAUUUACGGAUUUUUAUCAUUCAUGUUGUUUUACAUGAUCUUAUGUUUAGUUUUUUUUCCCAGAUAUAAUUUUUGCAAUUUUUCAGGAUUUUGUUAAUUCUUUUGAUAUUUUUUCUUUUAUUAUGACUUAAUCUUACUUUGUGUCGCAUAAUAUAUUCGUAGAAGUAUAUAUUAUUUUAAUGUUAAUAUUUUAUUCUUUAGUUUGAAUGAAAUUUUGGUUAUUAGGGUUUUUUGUUUCACUGUUAUGAUGUUUAUAUAUCAUUAUAGAUAGUAUAAAUUGUUAUGUUGUUUAUUUUCUUUUUAACAAUUUAUUGGAUUUUUUUAUUGUUAUAUAAUGUACCAAUGAUUUUCCUUUUAGCAUACUUUUGGCUAGUGGCUUGAGUGUUAGGGUUUUGGUUAUAGCUGAAUUCGCGAGAUUCGAAUGUGCUUUGUGUUUGAGGUUUGAUUGACAGGUUACACAUGGUUUUGAUGGAAUUAGGUUUAUGAAUAUGAGUAUACAUGAAGGUUUUUGUGUGUUGAUUGACUGUAUAUUAUGCUAGGUAUACUAAUUUGCUAAGCCUGAUGAGCUGCAUUAGUUUUUGAAACAUAUUACUCACUAUAAUUCAUCAAAUUAGCAAUAAAGAGGCGAACACCUUUUUAAACUUUGAGAACUUAUUGAUGUAUUUGAGGCCCACUCGAGGAGCUCUUUACAGUAUUAAUGGUUUAAUUCGGUCAAUCGUUUUUACAUUCAACAUGUGUUUGCGAGUACAUUCAGCAAAUUGAAGUGAGUCGAUGCGGUUUUUGGAGCCGAGCGACUAUUUCGACAACAACAGUAAGUGAUGACAACAACGUCAUGGCCCUAUUAGGAUUCCGUUAAGGUAGAGACCCAGUUCAAGUUUCAAGAAUGGAUGCAUUUGAAGAUAACUUUCAGUCAUUGCUAAUCCGGAAUCUAAAGGAAAAAGAAUUACUUUUGGGAGGUAUGUAAAGUAAGGAGAAAGCAAAGUUAUGCGUUGACAGUACGGCGUGAAUUCAUACAUGCGAAUGAUUUCAUGGAAGGUCCAAAAAGCAACAACAGCGUCACACUAGAGCUCCAUGAUUCUUGCAUGAGUUCCGGUUGCAAAAAUUGUUGACCGCCAUAAAGGUCAUCGACAAGAGCGCAAUUGAAUUGGUGGUGACUAUUGCUGAACAACGGGAGUUUGAUUACUUUGCUUGGCUGUUCAAUGGCCGCCAAUUACUGCUCGAAAGCGACUAAAUGUUAUCAAAGCGUUUGCUGCCGAGGGUAAUUGAUUGAUUAUUCAUUGUUGUUUGACUUUUUUUGUUUUUGAACAAAAUUUGAUAUAGGUAACGAGUGAUUUGGUGUUUUGGAUAGUUGUUGAAGUAGUUGACUGUUUGAUUUGGUUGGGCAUAUUAGAUGCUAUAUGGUUUGUUUGUUGUUGUAAAGAUUGGGAUAUUGUAUUUGAUAUUUGAAAGAUGUUAUUAAUUAUGGAGUUAUUGUAGAUUAA